rnacentral:rRNA from 1 species
GACGAACGCUGGCGGCGUGCUUAACACAUGCAAGUCGAACGGAAAGGCCCUGCUUUUGUGGGGUGCUCGAGUGGCGAACGGGUGAGUAACACGUGAGUAACCUGCCCUUGACUUUGGGAUAACUUCAGGAAACUGGGGCUAAUACCGGAUAGGAGCUCCUGCUGCAUGGUGGGGGUUGGAAAGUUUCGGCGGUUGGGGAUGGACUCGCGGCUUAUCAGCUUGUUGGUGGGGUAGUGGCUUACCAAGGCUUUGACGGGUAGCCGGCCUGAGAGGGUGACCGGCCACAUUGGGACUGAGAUACGGCCCAGACUCCUACGGGAGGCAGAAGUGGGGAAUAUUGCACAAUGGGCGGAAGCCUGAUGCAGCAACGCCGCGUGCGGGAUGACGGCCUUCGGGUUGUAACCCGCUUUCGCCUGUGACGAAGCGUGAGUGACGGUAAUGGGUAAAGGAGCACCGGCUAACUACGUG